UGAGGAAUUUUGCGCAAUGGGAGCAAUCCUGACGCAGCAACGCCGCGUGGGUGAUGAAGGCCUUCGGGUCGUAAAGCCCUGUCAGGUGGGAAGAAUGUCUCGGGACUGAACAGGUUUCGGGAGUGACGGUACCACCAGAGGAAGCACCGGCUAACUCCGUGCCAGCAGCCGCGGUAAUACGGAGGGUGCAAGCGUUAUUCGGAAUUACUGGGCGUAAAGCGCGUGUAGGCGGUCCUGCAAGUCGGAGGUGAAAGCCCCGGGCUUAACCCGGGAAGUGCAUUGGAAACUGCAGGUCUUGAGUACUGGAGAGGAUGGGGGAAUUCCCGGUGUAGAGGUGAAAUUCGUAGAGAUCGGGAGGAAUAUCAGUGGCGAAGGCGCCCAUCUGGACGGUAACUGACGCUGAGACGCGAAAGCGUGGGGAGCAAACA
rnacentral:rRNA from 1 species